rnacentral:rRNA from 1 species
CACGUAGGUGGGUCGUUAAGUCGGGGGUGAAAUCCCAGAGCUCAACUCUGGAACUGCCUUCGAUACUGGCGACCUUCGAGUUCGGGAGAGGUGAGUGGAACUGCGAGUGUAGAGGUGAAAUUCGUAGAUAUUCGCAAGAACACCAGUGGCGAAGGCGGCUCACUGGCCCGAUACUGACACUGAGGUGCGAAAGCGUGGGGAGCAAACA